rnacentral:misc_RNA from 1 species
GAACGCAACUUGCGCUCCUUGGUAUUCUGAGGAGCAUGCCUGUUUGAGUGUCAUUAAUAUCUCAACCACAUCCUUUUGUGGCUUGGACUUGGAGGAAACCUGCAGGCUUCUUUAGUUCUGCUCCUCUAAAAAAUAUGAGUGGUACCUAUAUUUUGGGAACUUUGGCUAGGUGUGAUACGCAUCUGCAUCUAAUUGAGGUCGCCCCGUUGGUUAUGCUGCUGAUCAUUUUAAAUAUUUAUUUAUGACUUGACCUCAAAUCAGGUAGGACCACCCGCUGAACUUAAG